GACGAACCGUACGAACGUUAUUCGGAAUCACUGGGCUUAAAGGGUGCGUAGGCGGCGCAGUAAGUUGGGUGUGAAAUCCCUCGGCUUAACCGAGGAAUUGCGCCCAAAACUACUGUGCUCGAGGGGAGUAGAGGUGAGCGGAACUUAGGGUGGAGCGGUGAAAUGCGUUGAUAUCCUAAGGAACACCGGUGGCGAAAGCGGCUCACUGGACCUCUUCUGACGCUGAGGCACGAAAGCUAGGGUAGCAAACGGG
rnacentral:rRNA from 1 species